rnacentral:misc_RNA from 1 species
UCCGGUUUGUCACCGGCAGUCUCAUUAGAGUGCCCAACUAAAUGUAGCAACUAAUGACAAGGGUUGCGCUCGUUGCGGGACUUAACCCAACAUCUCACGACACGAGCUGACGACGGCCAUGCAGCACCUGUGUUCUGGCUCUCUUUCGAGCACUCCCAAAUCUCUUCGGGAUUCCAGACAUGUCAAGGGUAGGUAAGGUUUUUCGCGUUGCAUCGAAUUAAUCCACAUCAUCCACCGCUUGUGCGGGUCCCCGUCAAUUCCUUUGAGUUUCAGCCUUGCGGCCGUACUCCCCAGGCGGGGUACUUAAUGCGUUAGCGCCGGCACUCAGGGGGUCAAUACCGGAAACAUCUAGCAUCCAUCGUUUACGGCGUGGACUAC